GAAGUGGGAGGGAAGGGAAGAGGCCACCCCUCCCAGCCUGGCCCUGGGAGUCUGUCCCGCACCCGUCCGCGAAAAUUUGAGACAGGUUUCCCAGAUGCAGGAGGAGGGGCCGGGGCACCCAAGUUGCGCUCUGCUUUCGGGAUACUUUUACGGGGAGACCCCCUUGCGGCUGACUUCGGUGCUAGAAAAAGGAUCUCUGUGGCAACGUUAUCCUAACCCUUGUGCGCCCGCUGUGUACAGCUGGUCCCCGCCUCCAAGUUUGCCCUCAGGGAAGCUGCGAUUUUCUUGCUGGCUCAUUAGAUCCUCACACAGAUUCACGGUCGGGCGGAGGACCGUGUGGAGUGAAGCAGGGAAUGGCGCGCCACAAAUUCAAGUUCUUUAGCACAUUUCCGGGACCUCAGUCUGAGGAAUGUCAUCCCCCGGUGACCAAGACCACCUCCAGGCAGCCCUCACCCUGGCUCAGGGGUCCGAUCCUGAGCUGCCAACCACAGGCAUCGUCGAUGGCCAACAAGUGUCCAGACAAUAUGAUGACCAUCACUCAGACUCGUGAGAGAGACAUGGAAGCAGGAGCUGCAGGGCCCACGUCCCGAAGGCAGUGGUGUGGUGCUCCAGCUCCGAGCCAGGGCAUGGAGGUCUGAGGAGAGGAGCCCCGGGCCGCACAGACAGCAGUUUGGAAUAAGGGCACUGACUUCUCAGAGGCAGAUAGUGUCUGCAAGCUACACAGCCCAGGGCUGGCAGGACUGCAAAGGGUGGAGUAUUCUGCCAGAUUUGGACUUGGAAAGGUUCUUGGCUGCAGGACUUGGCUUCCCCAUGGCUGCUCCACAGAUACUAGACCAAUAAACCGGUUACUGCCAUAGAAAGUA